rnacentral:lncRNA from 1 species
UUCACAUACAUCUUAAGCUCCUCAAGGCCAGAAAUGAGGCUUCAUUCACGUCGAAUUAAUGAAACAUGAUUGUCCAGAUGUCCAUCCAGGAAUAAACUCCACUGCAUGGAGCCCCAUGGUGAGACGGACUGCAGGCUUGCAGCCCCACACCUAUGCACCGGCAACGUGCCCCCAGGAACACAGGACCAACUCCAAAUUUGGGAAUGAAGAUAAUGUUCAGGGGAACACAGGACCAACUCCAAAUUUGGGAAUGAAGAUAAUGUUCAGCAGCUACAUUUUCACCCCAUCCCGGGCUCCAUGUUCCUGCU